rnacentral:rRNA from 1 species
GACGAACGCUGGCGGCGUGCUUAACACAUGCAAGUCGAACGGAAAGGCCCUGCUUUUGUGGGGUGCUCGAGUGGCGAACGGGUGAGUAACACGUGAGUAACCUGCCCUUGACUUUGGGAUAACUUCAGGAAACUGGGGCUAAUACCGGAUAGGAGCUCCUGCUGCAUGGUGGGGGUUGGAAAGUUUCGGCGGUUGGGGAUGGACUCGCGGCUUAUCAGCUUGUUGGUGGGGUAGUGGCUUACCAAGGCUUUGACGGGUAGCCGGCCUGAGAGGGUGACCGGCCACAUUGGGACUGAGAUACGGCCCAGACUCCUACGGGAGGCAGCAGUGGGGAAUAUUGCACAGUAGGCGGAAGCCUGAUGCAGCAACGCCGCGUGCGGGAUGACGGCCUUCGGGUUGUAAACCGCUUUCGCCUGUGACGAAGCGUGAGUGACGGUAAUGGGUAAAGAAGCACCGGCUAACUACGUG